ACGCCCGUGGCUCAAUCGGAGAGAGCACCUGCCUACGAAGCAGGAGGUUGCAGGUUCGAGUCCUGCCGGGCGUA
rnacentral:tRNA from 1 species